rnacentral:rRNA from 1 species
GAUGAACGCUGGCGGCGUGCCUAAUACAUGCAAGUCGAGCGAACAGACGAGGAGCUUGCUCCUCUGACGUUAGCGGCGGACGGGUGAGUAACACGUGGAUAACCUACCUAUAAGACUGGGAUAACUUCGGGAAACCGGAGCUAAUACCGGAUAAUAUAUUGAACCGCAUGGUUCAAUAGUGAAAGACGGUUUUGCUGUCACUUAUAGAUGGAUCCGCGCCGCAUUAGCUAGUUGGUAAGGUAACGGCUUACCAAGGCAACGAUGCGUAGCCGACCUGAGAGGGUGAUCGGCCACACUGGAACUGAGCCACGGUCCAGACUCCUACGGGAGGCCGCAGUAGGGAGUCUUCCGCAAUGGGCGAAAGCCUGACGUAGCAACGCCGCGUGAGUGAUGAAGGUCUUCGGAUCGUAAAACUCUGUUAUUAGGGAAGAACAAAUGUGUAAGUAACUAUGCACGUCUUGACGGUACCUAAUCAGAAAGCCACGGCUAACUACGUG